rnacentral:misc_RNA from 1 species
UUUCCGUAGGUGAACCUGCGGAAGGAUCAUUAAUGUGUUUGGGCCUCACGGCUCUUCAUUCCGACGCUGUGCGCCUUCGGGCUGCACGCUGAGGGAGCAUAUAUCCACCCCUGUGCACACACACGGUGGCGAGCUGGGUAACGGCUCGCCGCUGAUCUUUACACACGUCUAAAAGUCAUUGUAUGUUUAUUUGAGAUAAAAACACAACUUUCAGCAACGGAUCUCUUGGCUCUCGCAUCGAUGAGAACGCAGC